rnacentral:rRNA from 1 species
AUAUUGCACAAUGGGCGCAAGCCUGAUUCAGCCAUGCCGCGUGUGUGAAGAAGGCCUUCGGGUUGUAAAGCACUUUCAGUCAGGAGGAAAGGUUAGUAGUUAAUACCUGCUAGUUGUGACGUUACUGACAGAAGAAGCACCGCCUAACUCCGUGCCAGCAGCCGCGGUAAUACGGAGGGUGCGAGCGUUAAUCGGAAUUACUGGGCGUAAAGCGUACGCAGGCGGUUUGUUAAGCGAGAUGUGAAAGCCGCGGGCUCAACCUGGGAACUGCAUUUCGAAC